rnacentral:rRNA from 1 species
GAUGAACGCUGGCUACAGGCUUAACACAUGCAAGUCGAGGGGAAACGACGGGGAAGCUUGCUUCCCCGGGCGUCGACCGGCGCACGGGUGAGUAACGCGUAUCCAACCUGCCUCUGACUGAGGGAUAACCCGUCGAAAGUCGGCCUAAUACCUCAUGGCAUCGUCUGCGGGCAUCCAACGACGAUUAAAGAUUUCAUCGGUCAGAGAUGGGGAUGCGUCUGAUUAGCUUGUUGGCGGGGUAACGGCCCACCAAGGCGACGAUCAGUAGGGGUUCUGAGAGGAAGGUCCCCCACAUUGGAACUGAGACACGGUCCAAACUCCUACGGGAGGCAGCAGUGAGGAAGAUUGGUCAAUGGGCGAGAGCCUGAACCAGCCAAGUAGCGUGCAGGAGGACGGCCCUAUGGGUUGUAAACUGCUUUUAUGCGGGGAUAAAGUGAGGGACGUGUCCUUCAUUGCAGGUACCGCAUGAAUAAGGACCGGCUAAUUCCGUG